AGCAGUGAUGCAGCACCUGGUGGGAAGGCAGGGCCAACCCAAGGGAGCUCAGGUGUAAGCAAUGCAUCUGAGUGACCUGAAGGGCUGGAGCCAGGAUCCACCCCUUCCAGCCCUCAUUUAAGGGCUGUCAGUGAAAGGGCAGGUAUCUCAUCUGAAGAUCUCUCUGUAUGACAGAGCCUCACAGGCAUCCUGAAGAGCUUGCUGUUGGUUGGACUUCUCAGCUUGUUGCCCAUCCUUCCCAACACCAGAUGUUAGGAAACAUGUGACAGCAGCAUGGUUUGGACUGAAUGUAGCAGCAUGGCUCAAUCAGUCAAUAAGGAAAGGAAGAACAAACACUCAUCAAAUUCAAUGUUGAUAUGGAUAUCUUUACUUGAAAUGGUGGUGAUGCUGCUGGAAUCUGCUGAGAAGCAUCGCCUUGAGGCUGACUCCUCCACACCUGUGGAGUGUCAGGGCCAACCAUUGCCCAUGCUGGUGAGCUUUGGGGAGGAGCAGGUCAGACAGAGCCACAGCACUCUAUUACAGAAGCCUCGUGACCAAGACAGAUGCCAGUAGCUGGAACCUUGGCAAACUAAAUAAAAAAGAAAAGAAGUGGAACUCUAUUCGUCUCUCAUGUACUGAUUGCUCCCUCGUGUGACACUUCUAAAUGUAAGUGAAAAGGAACAAGUCCUUCAUCCUACACCUCUGAAUUCUGGCACGGGUUUGGUUUGUGGUGUGACCUGUUGAGAAGCCUCCUGCUGGCUCUCCGUGUGCUGCAGUGUCCUUACCCAUGGCAUGCAGUCUCUGUAUGCUUUAGAAUUAAACAAAUGAGAAAGUUGUGCAGCUUAAACCCUCUUCCAAACCUCAGUAAUUGUCUUCCCCCCCCACCCAGUUUCAGAAAACACAAAUCCAUCCCAUGCUGCUCUCACAGUUACUGCUGGUUUAUAUCUGGGCAGAAGCAAUUGGUGCAAGAAGCAUUGCUUAUAGGACAGUGCCUAAAAAUACUUCCAAAGGUCACUGCACAUCAGACAGCAGGCAGUGCUUGUUCCAGCGAAUCGCCCUGAGAACUGCAGGUCUUUGUUAAUGUUAAUUGUGUAUAUUUUAAACAACCCAUGUUUUAAAAACAGUGCAAACAGGAGGCAGUAAUGCUUGGUGAGCCCUGAGGAAUGGAGGGCGCUUCCUCACCCAUGGUUUUGGGCACAGAGGUUUGCUGUUCUUGAUAACUUCAAGGUUUGUCAAUUAGAGCCGUGUUAUGCAUAUGCUUGCAGAAAAGUGGGGGCAUUUCCAUGCUCACCGCUUUCAAGAAUACCAGUGAAGCAAUGACCCAGAAGUACCAUGAGGAUGUGUAGCUUGUCCUUUGCGCAGACAUUCACCAUGGCUGUGCUUAUAAUUGCAACCAUGGGCACUGAAUGUGAGAUAAAGGCCCAGCCCCAUGUGCUCUCAAGUAUUUCCCCAGAAACAGAUGUGUGCUGGGAGGUGUGAGUGAUGUGUGAAUAGUGCUGAAUGGGAUUGCUGUGCUCUUGGUCUGGGAUGAAGGCAUAUAUUUCCAGCAUCCCAGAAGGGCGACCUUGCAAUGGACCUCUUCUGUUUAUAUUUGACCACUCGAUUUCAUCUCUGCCCACCAAAUGCUUUUAUUCUGGAUUUGAGAAAGCACAGUUGCUUGGAUGGAUGCUGCAGAGUAUUUGGCACUUAUGGGUACGCUUUGUACAAGCAGCGUUCCCAGCAGGAUUCUGUGGGCUUUGUCCACCUCCCUGUGGCUGAGGUGGGAACACCCAGCGCUGUCUGCCCACUUCACAGUGCUCAUCUCUCUCUCUCUCUCUCUCUCUCCCAACCACAGAGUACAAUGACAAGCCUCCAGCUCAUUCCUGCUCUAGCUGCAAUGGGAGGGGAGGUGCUGGUUGCAGGGGGAGGUGCCCCCUCCUGGGCCCUCUCGGUUCCCAUCACUGGAUGUCCCCACCUCUGCUCCCAAGAGCAUUUUCCCUGUGAGGACCUGUCCCUGAGCAUCUCCCACCAGCAUCCCAUAGCUCUUAGGCAAGUAACACUCUUGCCUUUUUCUCAAAUACUAUUCAAACAUACAUUUUAUGUGGAGAUGCUGACGGACAACAACAUCUGCUCUCUCAGCUCAUGGGCUCUUAUUUGGAUUGUAAUUACUCCAUUGGCUGUGAUCUGUUCUCUGUUUGCCCACUAUCUGUUUCUGUCAGGUCUCAGUCUCCUACAAACCACCCAUUAUGUGGUGGUGAUAAUUAAAUCUCCCUGCUCCAGACCGGGCUGAGCAGCACAGGGAGGGCCUUCCUUGUCCUGACAGCUGCCAGAGCCACAGCCCCUAACGAUGCCCCGAUCACCUGCCUGCUCUGCAGGACAGGACACCUAUUUGUUCCAAACAAGCUCUUUCAGCAGCUGUCAGAUGCUAAUGGCUUUCAGCUGCUGCCAACCUGUGCCCUAUGCAAACCAGGGGCGCAUCAUGGAAAUGUGCGUAAAUAUUCAUGUGAGGCUGACAAAACCAGAAGUGCAAAUGCAGUUAUCGGAGCUCUUGCAUGAAUGUGCCAUAGCCUGCCCUGUUGUUUCGGUUUUAGUGUGAGGGACACAGUGCAAAUGUUCUGAAGUGAUGUUGCCCUUUUAUGUCUGUGAUUAAAAAAUCCGCUGAAGGCAGUGGGGAUGCAGAGGCACAUGGGUAAGAGCAAAUUUGGGUCCCUAUGUAAUGUGGGUGGUUCCGGACUGAUAAUGCUCUAUUCUGUGGGUUGCGUACUGAAAUUUUACUGAGAGAAAGGAGUUGCUUUGUUUAAUCGUGUCUGCAUUCUAUUAUGAAGAGCUGAAGGUGUCUCAGCAGAAUGUGAGAGCCCAGUGACUGUGUUCGGUGCUUCAGUGUUUGAUUCAGCCAUUCCCAGCACAGCGGACUGCACGACUGGGUGAGGACUUGACAAUCUCCCCCAUCGCAGCUCCCUCGAGCACCAAAGUUUUGACACACACACGUGAGCUGUGCAAACUCUAUUACAAUUUAAUUCUAUCAGUGGUUCUGCAGGGGGACUGCAUUAAAAUACUUUGUUAGCUGUGCACCUUUGCUUUCCCCAGCAAGUCCUGGAUAACUGUGCUGAGAAGGUGCGUUCGUGCAAAGUUCCCAUUAAAACUCAUUAAAAAUUGCCAUCUGUGGCACUGCAUGAAAGGGGGUUGAGGGCAGGGGCUGAGUCCUGGGUGGCACUGACCCCGUGAGGAGCGCUCCUUGGGUUUCUGCAGGCGAGGCAGGCUCUGUGCAGGCACCCAGCUGGCAACUGUCCUCUAUCACUUGUGUACCUGCAUUUCUGGGAUAGAUAGGCCCUGCGAAAAUGAAGUUAAUUCAGUGUUUCAGAUAUAGACCGUUAUUUUAAUUAAAAAUAGUAUUAUGAUAGUUAUGCAAAAUGGUUCAAAUAUUCUGCAGCUUGAUAUAAUAAAAAUUAGAAGAUACAGGUGUUGUUUCUGAGCCAUCAGAUUUCCACUGCCACAGUGCUUUGGUAAAAUGAAAAGGAGAAGCAGAGCCAUGUGCUAAUCCCUUCCUUUGUUGCUUAAGGGAGAUUUCAGUAUAGAGUACCAAUUUCCAUAUCAUUUGAAUAGCAGUUGCAGCCCAUUGGUGUUUAAAGUGAAAUGUGCAACUACUAUAAUCAGCAAAACAGAUGCAAAUGCCUUGUCUGUCUUUAAAUGCAGUCCCCUCCUUGCUGUUUCAAUUAGAUUUAGCAUGGAAAACUUGAUCAGAUAAUUAAAAACAAGAGCUAUUCUUCCACUUCUCAUAGCAGUAGCUGCUCCUUCAGAGGCAGCUCUGGGUGUGGGGCAGCCACCCUCCCCUCCCUGAGACAGCAGUGCCCUUCCAGUUCUGCUUAUGCCCAGCAGCUCCCACAGCAAGUGUCUGCGUGUCUGUGCAAGGAAGUGACACACAAAUAAGUGCCAUUCAGCAGUUUGAUCCCAGGCAGUGGUUGUGUGUGAGGGGGACUGCACGGCAGGAUGAAGUCCCACGGAGCCCCCUGAGCCCAGCUCUGGGCAGCUGCAGUCCAUCCCCAGAGGGUUUUUUAGCUCUGAAAAGAAACAUGGUAUGAAGAAAGGGUUUACUUUAUCCUUCAUGUUUCUGAAUGAAAUCAUGAGCACGUGGUGUGUCAGCUCCAGAAGGCUAAUUUCAUCUUCUCCAUGUGGUAGGAGAGCAGGGGUGGGCGAUGCCUCCAAACAGGUUGCUGACAGAACGAAAAGCCCUGGUUUGCUUCCUCCAAAAUGCUCUUCUGGGGAAAGGAUGUAAUUGUUGUUGUUGUUAUUUUUACUUUUCCUAACCAAGAGAUGCCUUAUGGAAAAGGAUUCCCACCUCGUGACCAGCUGCGGUGAUGAAACCCUCCUGGGACACUCAGGGCAGACCGGGAUGCUUUCAGCAAGAAGCAAUGCUCAUCUGUUGUGCUCACGUGUGAGUGGUGAAGGCCACACUAAUGCCGUGCCAGCCUGGUAGGAUGCGAAACAAAAUGUGUCAGGGUUGGUCCCUUCAGGGGAGCACCCCUGGAACAGCAGAGAGCCAGAGGGAGUGGGACACAGGCUGUCCAUUACAGGGCACCCAGCUCUGAUGUGCAGCUCAGGCAGCCACAUACAGGGGCACAGAAUGGUGCAGCCUUAGCAGAAGCGGGCUGCUGCUGCUCCUGAACUUCUGGGAAGGUUUGAGCCCAGUAUUGUUGCUCAGGUUGUUUUCUGUUCCAGGAUGCCUCCUGUGCUUGCUACAGUGGCAUUAUAAAUUCAUGCCUGUAUUUUUUUUUCUCCAGGAAAAAAUGUGAAGCUCAUGCUCUAAUCUAGAAAUAGUAAAGCGCUGCAGGGUUCAGUGCUGGAGUUCACUGGAAAAUCUAUUUGCUUUACUGGGAAAGGGUGGUGUUUUUUGUUUUUUAUUUUGUUUUUUGUUUUUUUUUAAUGUAUUACAAACAAAACAAAUUUGGAAAGCAUAUUUUAAAUACAGAGGCCUGAGAGCUGUGUGAGCUGAGGUUGGGGUCAGUGUGGUGGGAGCUCAGGUGCCCUUGGAACAGCCUCCGGUGUGCACAUGGACCGUACAGGGGAGGCUGUUAAAAAGGAAUAAUUCCGUUCUUUAAUUCUUACUUUCCAGUUAUAUUCUGUGAUGCCACCGCUGAUUACACUGAAGAUAUUCUGACUGCUGUCAGUGGAGUGAGAGGUGGACUGCGCCUGAAUGCUUGGAAGGACAGUUAAAUGUGAUCUCAAAUCAAAUUCUUAAGGACUUUAUGAGUUCCUUUUAUUUGGGGGCAUGUAACUAAAGGAGAUGUUCAGCAUGUUCCUUGGUGGGUGCCAGAAAGCUUAUUUUCAGAAGUAUCUGAGGCUCAGGGAAAGUCAACGACGGCUAUAUUUACCCUGAAGUCUGUGCAACUGCUGCCAAAAUCGAGCCAUGUUCUUUUUGUAGGAAUAACCAUGAGAAACAACAGCAUUUGGAGGAAGGACCGGGCACCAUACAUGUGACUUAUCUGACAUAGAAUGACGUAGAUGUCUUAAAUGGGGUCCAAUAGGCCACCUGAGGUUGUGCCUUGAGUGCUGUCAUCAGAAGGGCAGAUGGGAAAGGAGACAUUAACUCUCGGUGCUAUUGGUAGGCAUUGUUUCCACAGAAGCCCCCUCCCCUGUUUGGCCCGUGGCUGUGUCCUGGUGGAGCUGGGCCAGGCGUUGUGCCACUGUCUGCUGACAGGAUCCAAUUUCUUCUUAUGUGGAAAUAUAAAUCUUGGCCCUUCGAUCAUGUGAACCAUAAAAGAGGGAAACGCCUCUUCGUUUUACUUGAAAAAAGAAAAGUCGGAACUAUCCAGAACUGCUCGUUACAAAACAGUGACAGAAGAGCUUCCUUAAAUCAAACAGAGCUCUCAUUUUGCUGUUGGACCGUCCCACAGAGUGCUGCGUUCCCACCGUUUCUGCUCAGGGGAAGUGCUCUGUCAGCUCAGACCGUGAGCAGCUCUCCAGGGAGCACACAGCAGGGCUCAGGGCCUGGCGAGGAAAUGGGUUUCUGUGCUUUUGGGGUGCACCACAGGAAGGGGAGGAAUUACCCAGAGAGAGGAGGGGAGCGGCAGCUGACCAGCAACAAGCAGAGCAGCUGAGCCCUCGUGGCCAUGCCUCCAUGUCACCGUGCCCUGCUGCUGUGCCCCUCAGUGCCACGUCUCCCCUUGCUGGGCAGGCAGCCAGCUCAGUGCUGAAGGCAGGCAGGCUUCAGCCAAAGCUCUGCGGUGGGGAUUGUGGGGUGGUGGCAGCUCUGGAGGGGACCCCGUGGGGUUGGGAACCCUCUGGGCAGGCGCAGAGGAUCAUGAGACCCAGCAGGAAUGGCGGAGUGCAGCUGGAUGCACAGCAGGGUCUGGUGCAUGGAGGAGCUUCCAGCACCUCAAAGCUGGCAUUUCACCUGCCCCAAACCCCAGCUGUUUCUACAGGCCACGUUUGGUGUGAUUUAUAGCAGGUUUGGUUGUUCCACACUUGCCAAGCAGCGGGUAAGGUCUGUGGCAGCAGCCAGGCUCAGCAGCAGCCCAGCCACUGCUUCAUCACAGGUUGGUUAGCUUGCAGCCCGAGGCAAACCUGAAAUCAUUAACAGCCCAUUUGCUGGGCUAAUGACUCUUUUUUACUAGAUGUAUAAUUUAAUAUAUGGUAACUUUCAUGCUUAAUUACACUCUUCAAAGCUUCUUUUGAAGGAAUUUAUUUUUCUGCACGCAUUUAUUAAAAGGUGUUGGGAGCUGGCUGGCUUGCUUCCCUGAUAUCCUGCAUUAAAAACCAAAUCAUUUCUUUAAGGAGACUUUAAUUGAGAUAUGAGUAUUUCCUCCUCUGCAACUUCUCGCAAUAUUUUUAACCUCAAGUGUUGGGAAAAAAACAAAUAAGGGUGUAUUACCAAGAUGUUUCAAACAGCAUCGUUCUGUGCCCUACUGCAACCUGCCCCGUCGUUCUGCACACGGCGCAGACCCAAACCCUUCCCGCACAAUGCAAGGCUUGAGCUCAGCAGCCUGGCCCUGUUCCAGCCCAUUUCAUGUCUGACUCAGCAGUGAGUGCCCCUGCCGUGCUCUGUAACCUCAGUGGGAGCACAGAGAGGCUCCUGUAAGUGCUGUUAAUCCCACGUGCCAUUGGCAUGUGGCACUUGUAAGGCUUGCUGGGAUCAGUUUGGAUGAAAGAGGCUACGCAUGUAAGACGUUUUCCAUUGGCAUCCCAAAUCCGUUACUAUAUCAAUGAAAGAAGGGUAUGACUUUGUCGAUCGUGAUGCUUUUUUUGAGCUAGGCAGCUGAUCGAGGGGAUGGUCGUGAAUUUGGGUUUCUUUCUGUGAGCUCUACUGUCCCCUUCAUGGAGAUUAAAAAUUUCCCAGUACUGUUUUCAGCUCCGCAGAGCAAAUCAAAGAUAAUCUCCUGCUUGGAUAUCCUCACGCUAUUGCGAUCCACUAAUAGGAUCACCAUCCAGUUUUGACUUAACAGGCACCGGGAGAGGAUAAUCCUGUUUAUUCGGUCAUCCAAAGCACUGAUGAUCUGAGAUAAUCGGUGGCUGAGAGCAGCGAGGAGGGACGCGUGAGGUGCUCCGUGCCUGGAUGGAUGAGUCAGAUGCUCAGCACUGGGGAACGGACUGAGCUCACCCCUGCAGCCCCAACAGGGCGUGGAGAGCCCCAGCCAACCUCACAAAGAAGACAGAAAGUGGAGAAGCCAACCAGGUGUUCGGGGCCCUGCAGGUGGGAUAUUCAUGUAUGGCUGUUUGAUCAGCCCUGAAGGGCAGAGUUCUUGCUCUCCAACCUUCCUUCCUUUGCACCCUACAAGUCAGUGCUGAACACUGUGCUCCUCCUGAUGGUGCUUCAGGGCUCCUCGUGCAGAGCUCCAUGCUGCAGCACAGCCCUGAAGACAAGGGCACAUCUCUGCUGAAGGCACCGCUGCUGCACUUCGGCCACCAGGCUGAAGUAGUGGCUGCACUCCUCCGAAGGCACCACAGGUGUUGGCCCGCAGGGAGCAGCAGCAGAGCGGCACGGGGCUGCUUUCCUCCCGGAGCCCCUCGGGGCUGGCAGCGCCCAGGAAUGGAUCUGCAGACCCCCAGGAGGGAAGGCACGACCCCACCGACCUGAGGGCAUCACACCGUGCUGGGGAGUGAGCACAGCCGGGGCUGUCCGCGUGGCCACAUCUGAGCAGGGCGAGAUCUCGUGUGACAGCCACAGCCCUGCACAGCAGCAGCGUGGGACCAUCGGGAGAGCAGUGGCUGUGUGCCUUCACAAGUGCAUUCUGCAGCGUAAGCACGAGGCAGGAGCUGACAGCCCCACCUGCACUCACAUCUUGCUGGGCCUGAUGACAGCAUCUGUUGCAGGAAAUAUCGAGAGUGUGAUAUCAGUGGAGCUGGAUCCUUUGCUGAGGACUCUCCUGGUACCUCCACAGCCAUUCCUGGUGGGAAACCAGAGCCAACCCGUGCCCCACUUUUUGGUGUGCGUGCAGCACCCACCUGCUUUCUGCUGCCAUGAAUGCAAUGUUUGGAUACCACUGGAGAGGCGCUCGGGCUCUGGUAGCAUUUGUUUCCACCCACCUUCUCCAGUUUGCUCCAUGAAAGCCAUCGGCUGCCUCGCACAGACCCGGAGCUCCUUCUGCAUGGAGCUGUGGGACAGUGAUGGGAGGAGGAGGAGGAGGAGCAGGAGCUGGAGCUGGAGCUGGAGCUGGAGCUGGAGCUGGAGCGAGGCUGCUCCCCAGGAGCCUCAGGAGUCGCUUGGGGCUGAAGAGCGAGGAGAAGCUCGUUUGUUAUGCAAAUAUCUGCUUCGGCCUGGCCUGGCAUAGGCAGUGGAAAGCUCUUGAAUUAUUUUAAGCAGAGGACAAAAGUUCUUUCCCUCCCCCUAUCAUCUUGGAUCCUUAUUAAAACAAAACAAAACAGAAACCUCUGUGUGAACCAUCUGAGGAUGAUCAGUGCUGUGCUUUGCUGGCAAGAGCGGUGUGGCCAGGAGUGCACAGGCGCAGGGAAAUAGAACAAUUAAGACAAAAAAAAAUGCAUUGGAGGCAGACAGGCUUUAUUUUGUUUGGAUGGCAGCACAAACGAAGCACCCUCCAGCCUUAUCGCCACCAGCAUGCUAGGGGCAGGCAGGCCACAGAGGGACUGGGCUGUCACUGGGCGACCGGCUGAGGCACGGCCACCUGCGGCAGGGAGGGCACUGGGCAGCCGUUCCCGGGAGCCACUCGGGAUGGUUGGUUUUAUGGCUGGUUUGGUGGGAGGCUGGGUUAGAUGGCUGGUUUGGGUGCAUGAAACACAACUCGAGGAGCCACCCAUGCGUGUCUUAGAGGACAGGGCUGUCCCACCAUGGAACGAUGCAGGAG
rnacentral:lncRNA from 1 species